ACAAAAGUUUAUUGGCUGCAUAUAUUAUCCAGGACUGAAAGACAUUUUUAGUUUCAACAGCUUUAAGUUACAACAUUUUCUGUUAAAAUAAGGCGGUAUGGGCAGUGCAGCUGCAGCUGAUGGAGCUAAUGCCAGGUGUGCUAGAUUUGGCAGUAGCUAACAACACUGUUGGUGCUGUGUUAUGUUUUAUUGUCUUUUUUUUUUUUUGUAGUACUGUUGGCUGACUAUAUUUGUAUUGUUCCUUUCUACUCACAUUGUGUUAUAAUUCGUAGAAAAAGUGGAAAAGCAUCUAAUUAGUAUGAAUGAGAUUUAAAUGUUGAAUAAAACUCUUAAUGUAUGAAAAAUGUGAAACAUCUUAAGAUUUGAAAAUGCAUGAAAAAGAAAAUUCAAUAUGAAUCCUUGGAAAAGUGGAGAAGGAUCUAACUAUUUUGAAUGGGAUUGAAAAGAUGAAUAAAAAAAAAAAAAGAUAAACUGGUAAUGUAUGAAAAAACAUAGAAUGUUUAAUGGCUUGAAUGAGAAUUUUAGAUGAACAGUUGAGGAGAGAGGCUUAACGGCCAAAAAUACCUUAACAUCAAUCCACUAAUCGGAGCAGAGAGUCGUGAUGGGGACAGGUUACUAUGAGAAGCUGUUGAGGUUGACAUCCAGCAAACCAGCCAGACUUUUUGUUUGCCUUCUCUGUAUUCACUGUGUAUUCAUCAACAUGUACAUAAACCAAACAUAUUGGCUGUUAUGUGUGAUUUCAUCAAACUCAUUGAAUUAUAAGCCCAAUAAUUCCUUACAGUUGGUUUAUAAAGGAUAUCUAAUUCAUUAGAUCAACCUCAGUGUCAUCAUAGUAACCAUGAACUAUAAGCCCAAUAUAUGUCUCGUAAAACCUAAAGAAAAUAUACAUUUUCAAAACAAAUAAAAUAUAUGAAUUUAUAACUUAUAAAAUUAUUAACAAAAAUAAUUUAAAGCAAAAAAAACUACACAAGUUUGAGUUAGCUGAAAAACUCAAUAUUGAAUAACCGCCAAUCAACUGAAGUGAACUGUUACUCGUGCAAAAUGAACAGGAUUACUGCAUCUAAAAUUGUUUUUUUUUUUUGUUUUUUUAAAGUGCAUGAGAUUCUAAAAUUAACACCUGAACCAGUGACUUGCUUCAACAGCAUUCUAUUCAAUAACUCCUAAGCACAAAUAUAGCUCAAGUGAAAACUGAAUUUCCAUUAAUAAGUUUCACACACAUAGUGACAUCAUGCAAGUCCAAAGGUUGGAGCUUGUGAAAUUCCCUCCAUCAUGUAUUGUUUGAAGGCUUCAUAGGAAGAGUGCAGCGGCGGUGUGGACGGUGUGGAAAUCCCAGUGGAGGCACUGUUGAAGCUCCAGAUGUAAACUCCAAUACCUUCUCUAGGGUGACUGGACUGCAUUCUCCUGCUGUAACACAAGAAAGUGAGAAGUCCACGUCAAAUAAAGUGCAUAGGUCCUUUGCCUGUAGUGGAAUCUCCUCACUGACAAACAUGUUGAACACUGUUGGAUUCUUCCUCAGCUCCUCCAGUAAACCUGGGCCAGUGACAGUUUCAUUUUUCGGACAGAUAAGACAGGUGAGGCACUUACUGGUCCAGGGCAGUCGCCAAUCUUCCAUUGACGAAGAAGUCUGCAGCUGGAGGAACCUGAACACGUUUGAAGCGAUUCAUAAAUAAUAGAAAGUUAAUAGAAAAUAGGGCUGUGUCACAGUACUGUACAUUCAAUGCAUAACACCUUUCU